AUGGGACCCUCCAGAAGAAACCUGCCCAGCAAUCCUUCCCGCCAGAAGGAUGCCAGGAGAAACUGCCUCUACCUGCAAGAAAGGCGCACGAUGGCACUUGGAGAUAGAAGUCCACCGACGGCACCGGAGGCUGAACAAGAGUUGAUGUGUGCUUCGCCUUCCGGGCCCUUAGCUUCCUUUGUAAGUGUAAAACACCUUCCCAGCAACACAGUGGCCCCUGGGGUUUCCUCAUAGAUGGAAUGUAAGGAGGUAAUCUGAAUAUCGAAAUCAGGAAUCGAUAUAUUAAAAGAAAAAAGCCUACCAAACCAAACCAAACAAAACAGAGGGAUCGGCAUCCAAAUAUCAGA
rnacentral:lncRNA from 1 species